rnacentral:rRNA from 1 species
GACGAACGCUGGCGGCGUGCCUAAUACAUGCAAGUGGGACGCAAGGGAACACACUGUGCUUGCACACCGUGUUUUCUUGAGUCGCGAACGGGUGAGUAACGCGUAGGUAACCUGCCUAUUAGCGGGGGAUAACUAUUGGAAACGAUAGCUAAUACCGCAUAAUAUUAAUUAUUGCAUGAUAAUUGAUUGAAAGAUGCAAGCGCAUCACUAGUAGAUGGACCUGCGUUGUAUUAGCUAGUUGGUAAGGUAAGAGCUUACCAAGGCGACGAUACAUAGCCGACCUGAGAGGGUGAUCGGCCACACUGGGACUGAGACACGGCCCAGACUCCUACGGGAGGCAGCAGUAGGGAAUCUUCGGCAAUGGACGAAAGUCUGACCGAGCAACGCCGCGUGAGUGAAGAAGGUUUUCGGAUCGUAAAGCUCUGUUGUAAGUCAAGAACGUGUGUGAGAGUGGAAAGUUCACACAGGACGUAGCUACCAGAAAGG